rnacentral:rRNA from 1 species
UACGUAGGGGGCAAGCGUUGUCCGGAAUUAUUGGGCGUAAAGAGCGUGUAGGCGGUUCGAUAAGUUUGCUGUAAAAGUCGGGGGCUCAACCCCCGAAAGCCGGUGAAUACUGUCGGACUAGAGUGCGGAAGAGGCGAGUGGAAUUCCUGGUGUAGCGGUGAAAUGCGCAGAUAUCAGGAGGAACACCGGUGGCGAAGGCGGGUCUCUGGGCCGAUACUGACGCUGAGGAGCGAAAGCGUGGGGAGCGAACAGG